rnacentral:rRNA from 1 species
ACGUAGGGUCCAAGCGUUAAUCGGAAUUACUGGGCGUAAAGCGUGCGCAGGCGGUUCGCAAAGACAGGUGUGAAAUCCCCGGGCUUAACCUGGGAACUGCGCUUGUAACUAGCGGGCUAGAGUGCGGCAGAGGCAGGCGGAAUUCCGGGUGUAGCGGUGGAAUGCGUAGAGAUCCGGAAGAACACCGGUGGCGAAGGCGGGUUGCUGGGCUGACACUGACGCUGAUGCGCGAAAGCUAGGGGAGCGAACAGGA